rnacentral:sRNA from 1 species
CUGCUCUCUUCUCAGGUCUUCAAGGCAGCCAGGCCAGGACACGGCCCCCACCCCAGCCCCUCGGCUCCGGAAAGGCUCUGAUGCCCUCCGGCCCCCAGUCCCCCAGGGGGAAGAUGAGGUCCCCAAAGCCUCAGGGGCUCCUCCAGCAGGAUUGGGCUCUGCUAGGGAGACCCGGGCCCAGGCAUGCCCUCAGGAAGGGACAGAAGCCCAUGGAGAUAGGCUGGGCCUGAGCAUUGAGGAUAAAGGCUCUGGAGACCCUUUUGGAAGGCAGAGACUCAAGGCUGAAGAGAUGGACACUGAGGACAGGCCAGAGGCCAGUGGGGUGGACACUGAGCCUGGGUCAGGAGGCAGGGAGGCAAACACUAAGAGGUCAGGAGUCAGAGCUGGGGAGGCUGAAGAGAGUUCAGCAGUUUGUCAAGUGGAUGCUGAGCAGAGGUCAAAGGUGAGACAUGUGGACACUAAGGGACCAGAGGCAACAGGGGUGAUGCCUGAGGCAAGAUGCAGGGGGACCCCUGAGGCUCCUCCAAGGGGUUCUCAGGGGAGGCUGGGAGUCAGGACCAGGAAUGAGGCUCCCGCAGGCCUGAGCCUGCCCCCAGUGGAGCCUGCAGGGCACUCUGGGCAACUUGGUGACCUCAAGGGGGCCAGGGCUGCUGCAGGCCAGGAGAGAGAGGGUGCAGAAGUGAGGGGCGGAGCCCCUGGUAUUGAGGGGACAGGCCUGGAGCAGGGCCCCUCUGUUGGAGCAAUAAGCACCGGGCCCCUGGUGAGCAGCUGGCAGGGGGCCCUGUUAUCAGCUGCCCAGGGGGCAAUAUCCAGGGGUCUGGGAGGCUGGGAGGCAGAAGCUGGGGAUUCAGGGGUCCUGGAAACAGAGACUGAGGUGGUAGGGUUGGAGGUGCUGGGAACCCAGGAGAAAGAAGUUGAGGGCUCAGAGUUCCCAGAGACUAGGACACUAGAAAUUGAGAUAUUGGAGGCCUUGGCGACAGAAGCAGCAAGAUCAAAGGUCCUGGAGUCAGAGGUUGCUGGGACAGCACAGUGUGAGGGACUGGAGACCCAGGAAACAGAGGUGGGGGUCAUAGAGACCCCAGGGACAGAGACUGAGGUAUUUGGGACCCAGAAAACAGAAGCUGGGGGUUCAGGAGUUUUGCAGACAAGAACUACGAUAGCAGAGACUGAGGUACUGGUGACCCAGGAGAUAUCUGGGGAUUUAGGGCCACUGAAGAUAGAAGAUACAAUACAAUCUGAGAUGUUGGGGACCCAGGAGACAGAGAUGGAAGCUUCUAGGGUACCAGAGUCAGAGGGUGAGGGGACAGAGGCUAAAAUAUUAGGGACCCAGGAGAUAACAGCUAGGUAUUCAGGGGUCCCAGAGAUAGAAGCUGAGAUAGCAGAGUCUGACAUAUUGGUAGCCCAGGAGAUAGAGGUGGGGCUUUUGGGGGUUCCGGGAAUAGAGACUGGGGCAGCAGAAGGUGCGAUAUUGGGAACCCAAGAGAUAGCAUCUAGGGAUCCAGGGGUCCCAGGGAUAGAAGCUGAUACAACAGGGAUCCAGGUGAAAGAGGUUGGGGGUUCAGAGCUUCCAGAGAUAGAGACUGGGACAGCAGAAAUUGAGAUAUUGGGGACCCAAGAGAUAGCAUCUAGGAGUUCAGGGGUCCCAGGGCUAGAAUCUGAGGUAGCUGGGGCCCAGGACACAGAGGUGGGGGGUUCAGGGAUCUCAGGGCCAGAGGCUGGAAUGGCAGAGGCCCGAGUACUGAUGACCCGAAAGACAGAAAUUAUAGUUCCAGAGGCUGAGAAGGAAGAGGCUCAGACUUCGGGGGUCCAGGAAGCAGAGACUGGAGUUGGGAGUGCUCUCAAAUAUGAGGCUUUAAGGGCCCCAGUCACUCAGCCAAGAGUUUUAGGAUCCCAGGAAGCAAAAGCAGAGAUUUCAGGAGUACAAGGGUCAGAGACUCAAGUUCUGAGAGUCCAGGAGGCAGAGGCUGGGGUUUGGGGGAUGUCAGAGGGCAAAUCUGGGGCUUGGGGGGCCCAGGAAGCAGAGAUGAAGGUUUUCGAGUCUCCAGAGAACAAAUCUGGUACUUUUAAGGCCCAGGAAGCGGAGGCUGGGGUCUUGGGAAAUGAGAAGGGGAAAGAAGCUGAGGGAAGCCUCACAGAGGCCAGCCUGCCUGAAGCACAGGUGGCCAGUGGGGCAGGGGCUGGGGCGCCCAGGGCCUCUUCCCCAGAGAAGGCUGAAGAGGACAGGAGGCUGCCGGGCAGCCAGGUAGGGAUGGGGGCCGCCGAGGGCCCAGUCUGCUGCUUCCCACUAACCUGGGGCUGAGCGAACGGCGGCUCUGCAUGGACCCACCUGGUGGAAUGGGAUCGGGUGGGGUGGGGGGCUCAGCUUGAAGGAGCCCCCUCAUCCCCUCCUCUCUCAGGAUGCCCUGGCUCUCUUACCCCAUCUUCCCUGGGCCGCAUGGAGCUGGACACCUCUAAUCUGAUUUUCUGGGCUGACUUUGAGGUGUGGCUGCUGGUGACCUCUGAUCUUGUCUGGGGGCCACUGACCUUUUAGGUGACCUUGGCAGAUAACCCUGGAUCUGGAAACCCUGUUACCUGGCCCCAAGGCUCUGGCCAGUGGUCUCUGGUGACCCCUGCGAGCUCAGAGAUGGGGCUGUUGUGUGCCAGGCAUGAGCUUCCCCAAGAGGCAGAGGGCACAGAUCCCAUUUAUACAUUCCCUAAGCCCACCCCUGUGUCCCCAGGCACCACCUGCCCUGGUCAGCUCCAGCCAGUCCCUGCUGGAGUGGUGCCAGGAAGUCACCGCUGGCUACCGUGGCGUCCGCAUCACCAACUUCACCACAUCCUGGCGCAACGGCUUGGCCUUCUGUGCCAUCCUGCACCGAUUCUACCCAGACAAGAUGUGAGCUGCCAGAGGGGUGGGAACGAAUGGGGGAGCCGUCAGGGAGGGCAGUGUGGACCCAGCCUCUGACCAGCACACUCUCUGCAGUGACUAUGCCUCGCUAGACCCACUCAACAUCAAGCAGAACAACAAGCAGGUGAGAUGGGGUGGGGGGCUGCCUGGAGGGAAGGAGGGUCUGGAGAGCCAGGCUUUCAGUCUCAGAUUUGGAUAAAAUGGACUGCCGGGCCCAGCAGUGUCUUCUGGAAGUUCUGCCACUUUUUACUCCUUUGGUCAUUAAAUUGUUUGUUUUCCUUA